AACGAACGCUGGCGGCAUGCCUAACACAUGCAAGUCGAACGAACCCUUCGGGGUUAGUGGCGCACGGGUGCGUAACGCGUGGGAACCUGCCUUUAGGUUCGGAAUAACUCAGAGAAAUUUGAGCUAAUACCGGAUAAUGUCUUCGGACCAAAGAUUUAUCGCCUUUAGAUGGGCCCGCGUUAGAUUAGAUAGUUGGUGGGGUAAUGGCCUACCAAGUCGACGAUCUAUAGCUGGUCUGAGAGGAUGAUCAGCCACACUGGGACUGAGACACGGCCCAGACUCCUACGGGAGGCAGCAGUGGGAAUAUGGACAUGGCGAAGCCUGAUCCAGCAAUGCCGCGUGAGUGAUGAAGGCCUUAGGGUUUAACUUUACC
rnacentral:rRNA from 1 species